CUGGGACCCGGCAAGAAGUGCCCCGUUCAGACCACGGAGCACCACACCGAUAAACUACACCCCGGUUACCACAUAAAUGGAACUGAAGGGCACAGCCCCCAACCUCAGCAACACCAUAACAUGUCCACACCGUCCUACCGAGAAAUGGAGUACCACACCGGAACCUCUCUAAUGCCUCGCGAUACACCGGCUGGCGAGACCAACACCCAAGACCUAGAGAACUCUUUCCUUCUCUCAUGCUCUAUCUAACUCUCAUUACUUACGCCAGCUAAUGGAGCAAGACCUAAGCCUGGGGAACCCCGGGAGACUCCGAAGCUACGAAUAUCAUGCCUAAGAUAGUCCAUCUACAGCAUUAAGUAUAUAGUUAUUGCUCGUUUAAGUAUCAAAUAAUCUACUCAUUCAGCUUUUCAUACUUUUAAGUCACACAAUCACCAUUUGCUUUGGCUUGCUCUCUCCUGCCUCGCUUACAAGCGAAAAAAAAGGUCAGCAAUAGCUUAAAUAAAUCCCAGAUAUCCUGGCACAUAUGUAACAGUAAAGCGCAGUAGCUAUAUACACACUCUAAACCACGCUGACACUGCAUUCCAACAGCCACGCACAACACCCAGAAAGCCUAUGUACCCUCAAUAAGUCACUAGCCUGUGGAGUUGGGGCCUCCCAGCCUAAACACACACGGCACAGAGUACAUGGGCAACACAUCGCAACUAGAUAAAGCUACACUACAAAACUCAGUACGCGCCAACUCAGUACGCUUACACUAGCAUAGCAGACCUAGAAAAACUACACACCGAGCACCUCUCAUUUUACUAUAUUGUACCUUAACUUCAUCCCAACGACACAACUCUUUAGUUAAACUUAGAAAACUAUAAAAACUGGGCCAAAUAUCAGGUUACUGUUUACCGCCUGAGAAGCUGGUACUACGCCGAUGUGGCACCUACUGACAAUAGGUAACCCCUUGCAAGUUACAAAACGUACCUUAUGCCCACUGCAUACGUAUACCUUUACCGAUAUUACUUCCAUAAAACUCUUGAAAAUGAAUGCCGUAUACUUAGCAGUCGCAGUAAAGCUAUGAUCAAUGUACCUGGUUUAAAUAAGUUCCAUCAUAUCUAGUAUUGAUGAGUCACCAUUGAUUUAUUUCACUGUAUUUUAGUUAAUCCUACCUUAUCGAUUUAGCUAUCUAGUCAAGCAUGUUUAAAAACAUAAAACUGUGCAAAUUCUCACGCCACUGUUAAAC